AGACCCGAAACCCGGUGAUCUAGCCAUGGGCAGGUUGAAGGUUGGGUAACACUAACUGGAGGACCGAACCGACUAAUGUUGAAAAAUUAGCGGAUGACCUGUGGCUGGGGGUGAAAGGCCAAUCAAACCGGGAGAUAGCUGGUUCUCCCCGAAAGCUAUUUAGGUAGCGCCUCGUGAAUUCAUCUCCGGGGGUAGAGCACUGUUUCGGCUAGGGGGCCAUCCCGGCUUACCAACCCGAUGCAAACUGCGAAUACCGGAGAAUGUUAUCACGGGAGACACACGGCGGGUGCUAACGUCCGUCGUGAAGAGGGAAACAACCCAGACCGCCAGCUAAGGUCCCAAAGUCAUGGUUAAGUGGGAAACGAUGUGGGAAGGCCCAGACAGCCAGGAUGUUGGCUUAGAAGCAGCCAUCAUUUAAAGAAAGCGUAAUAGCUCACUGGUCGAGUCGGCCUGCGCGGAAGAUGUAACGGGGCUAAACCAUGCACCGAAGCUGCGGCAGCGAACGUAUCACCCAAGACAACUUUACGGAGUUGACGAUUGACGGAGCGAAGCGACGUCAAAGCGUUCAUUAAAGUCGAGUUGGCUUAGGGAUACGUUCGUUGGGUAGGGGAGCGUUCUGUAAGCCUGUGAAGGUGUGUCGUGAGGCAUGCUGGAGGUAUCAGAAGUGCGAAUGCUGACAUAAGUAACGAUAAAGCGGGUGAAAAGCCCGCUCGCCGGAAGACCAAGGGUUCCUGUCCAACGUUAAUCGGGGCAGGGUGAGUCGACCCCUAAGGCGAGGCCGAAAGGCGUAGUCGAUGGGAAACGGGUUAAUAUUCCCGUACUUGGUGUUACUGCGAAGGGGGGACGGAGAAGGCUAUGUUGGCCGGGCGACGGUUGUCCCGGUUUAAGCGUGUAGGUGUGUGUUCCAGGUAAAUCCGGUUCACUUUAACACUGAGGCGUGACGACGAGGCACUACGGUGCUGAAGCAACAAAUGCCCUGCUUCCAGGAAAAGCCUCUAAGCAUCAGGUAACAUCAAAUCGUACCCCAAACCGACACAGGUGGUCAGGUAGAGAAUACCAAGGCGCUUGAGAGAACUCGGGUGAAGGAACUAGGCAAAAUGGUGCCGUAACUUCGGGAGAAGGCACGCUGACACGUAGGUGAAGUGAUUUACUCAUGGAGCUGAAGUCAGUCGAAGAUACCAGCUGGCUGCAACUGUUUAUUAAAAACACAGCACUGUGCAAACACGAAAGUGGACGUAUACGGUGUGACGCCUGCCCGGUGCCGGAAGGUUAAUUGAUGGGGUCAGCGCAAGCGAAGCUCCUGAUCGAAGCCCCGGUAAACGGCGGCCGUAACUAUAACGGUCCUAAGGUAGCGAAAUUCCUUGUCGGGUAAGUUCCGACCUGCACGAAUGGCGUAAUGAUGGCCAGGCUGUCUCCACCCGAGACUCAGUGAAAUUGAACUCGCUGUGAAGAUGCAGUGUACCCGCGGCAAGACGGAAAGACCCCGUGAACCUUUACUAUAGCUUGACACUGAACAUUGAGCCUUGAUGUGUAGGAUAGGUGGGAGGCUUUGAAGUGUGGACGCCAGUCUGCAUGGAGCCGACCUUGAAAUACCACCCUUUAAUGUUUGAUGUUCUAACGUGGACCCGUAAUCCGGGUUGCGGACAGUGUCUGGUGGGUAGUUUGACUGGGGCGGUCUCCUCCUAAAGAGUAACGGAGGAGCACGAAGGUUGGCUAAUCCUGGUCGGACAUCAGGAGGUUAGUGCAAUGGCAUAAGCCAGCUUGACUGCGAGCGUGACGGCGCGAGCAGGUGCGAAAGCAGGUCAUAGUGAUCCGGUGGUUCUGAAUGGAAGGGCCAUCGCUCAACGGAUAAAAGGUACUCCGGGGAUAACAGGCUGAUACCGCCCAAGAGUUCAUAUCGACGGCGGUGUUUGGCACCUCGAUGUCGGCUCAUCACAUCCUGGGGCUGAAGUAGGUCCCAAGGGUAUGGCUGUUCGCCAUUUAAAGUGGUACGCGAGCUGGGUUUAGAACGUCGUGAGACAGUUCGGUCCCUAUCUGCCGU
rnacentral:rRNA from 3 species